UGGGGAAUAUUGGACAAUGGGCGAAAGCCUGAUCCAGCCAUGCCGCGUGUGUGAAGAAGGUCUUCGGAUUGUACAGCACUUUAAGUUGGGAGGAAGGGCAUUAACCUAAUACGUUAGUGUUUUGACGUUACCGACAGAAUAAGCACCGGCUAACUCUGUGCCAGCAGCCGCGGUAAUACAGAGGGUGCAAGCGUUAAUCGGAAUUACUGGGCGUAAAGCGAGCGUAGGUGGUUUGUUAAGUUGGAUGUGAAAUCCCCGGGCUCAACCUGGGAACUGCAUUCAAAACUGACUGACUAGAGUAUGGUAGAGGGUGGUGGAAUUUCCUGUGUAGCGGUGAAAUGCGUAGAUAUAGGAAGGAACACCAGUGGCGAAGGCGACCACCUGGACUAAUACUGACACUGAGGUGCGAAAGCGUGGGGAGCAAACA
rnacentral:rRNA from 1 species